rnacentral:lncRNA from 1 species
UUAGCUGCAGCCCACCUGUGGAGUCUAAAAUAACACAUACCAUAUUAACACUCCUCUGCUGAGAUUUUGAUAACAGACACCUGUGCGGUCUAAGUAGCUCUUGACUUAUUUCUUUCAGAAUGUGUUAAUAGUGGUGGCCACAUUUAUUUUCCUCCAGAUGUGAACUGAAAAUACCACAAGGGCCAAUUUCUGUGCAAAGUUGAAAAUGGAUCAAGCUACCCCUUCUCCUUCACUCUCCCCACACACCAUUUUGCCAUCUUUCAAAUGCAGCAGAGAGCACAUCCAUCAAUUCGAGAACUGCUGGGCAUCCCAGGAGCACGCUGCAGGUGAAAUAUGAAGGGACACAAACAGUUUGGAAAGAAUUCAAAGGAGAUUCUUAAGAUGAACUGAAUUUCCCACAAAAGCCAGAUCUCUGUCUAAUAAUGGCAAUGGCACAUGGAACACAGUCGAUGGUUUUGAGCAGCCGAGACCUCAUCUCCAGCUUACACUUCUGAGAAAACAGAAACAUUUUCAAGAAAGGAGAAAGGAAACAAUAUUCUGAUCAUGGCAAUUCUAAGUUUU